rnacentral:rRNA from 1 species
AUUGAACGCUGGCGGCAGGCCUAACACAUGCGAGUCGAGCGGAUGAAGGGAGCUUGCUCCUGGAUUCAGCGGCGGACGGGUGAGUAAUGCCUAGGAAUCUGCCUGGUAGUGGGGGAUAACGUCCGGAAACGGGCGCUAAUACCGCAUACGUCCUGAGGGAGAAAGUGGGGGAUCUUCGGACCUCACGCUAUCAGAUGAGCCUAGGUCGGAUUAGCUAGUUGGUGGGGUAAAGGCCUACCAAGGCGACGAUCCGUAACUGGUCUGAGAGGAUGAUCAGUCACACUGGAACUGAGACACGGUCCAGACUCCUACGGGAGGCAGCAGUGGGGAAUAUUGGACAAUGGGCGAAAGCCUGAUCCAGCCAUGCCGCGUGUGUGAAGAAGGUCUUCGGAUUGUAAAGCACUUCAAGUUGGGAGGAAGGGCAGUAAGUUAAUACCUUGCUGUUUUGACGUUACCAACAGAAUAAGCACCGGCUAACUUCGUG